GUUCUACAAUAUUCCACGCUCAUUCACACGCUAGGGUGAGUUUUUGUUUUCUUUACUGCGUCAUUACUACCGGCAUUAAGGUUUUGCAGUCAACUUCCUGCAUGAAAUAUACUUCCUCAAUUUGUUACUUCACAUCUUACAUCGGUCACGGCGUCGCCGCUUUCUUGUGGAAUUUUAUAAAAUAUCCAUAUGAGGGGAGCUGGUGGGUAACAAUCGUAAAAGAUGCCAUUCUCUGUCAACGUUUUAUCAAGUCGUAAAUCAGAUGCCGUUUCGGUCUGGAAUGUGAAGUUAGGUUACUUCUACAGCUCACGAUGAUUUCAUUUCACAGUAGUUAAUAUAAAUGAACAGGCACGUUACCAAAUCGAGACAGGUUUUCCAAGUGUAGUUAGUGUUAUUUUGAUUGUAACAAAGAAACUUUCGUUGAAUUUCUGCAAUGGUAUCUUCUUCGCACACAACUAGCUCAUCUAUUUUGAAGAAGCGCCCGCCGGUCAUCGCCCAAUAUAGACAAUCGACAGACCAGCAUAAAAAUCGUGAACUUUAAGCCAGCAUCACAUUGAAAAAAAUCCCUGUGCCAAGCUCAACCAAUUUUAACAGAAAUUGUGAGGCUCAUUCAUCGCCCGGAAACAUCUGCCACACGAGACCCAAGCUUCUCGGCGAUUGUUAGGACUCGGAUAAAAAUCGAUUUCACCCCACAGAAGUGAGCUGCUGCUUCAUAACUGCAACGACGGAUGGUGUCGACUGGCGGCGGCGUGGUUGGAGAAAAGUAUCCACGCGACUGACGCUCGGUGCCUUUAGCGGAUCAAAUACAGGACAGCCGAGACGAAACAAACGCAAACGACAGCUGCAUUAUAUUUGGUUUAUUGAAAUUAAGUGACUAUAUAGGACUCUUCGGUACAUGUACAAUGCUGCGUGUUCGUGUUGACCGUUGAGCCAGUACUCGGGUGAUACUAGAUUAUAUUUUUGUCGUUCGAACCGUGGAUAGUGGGUGUGUAUUUGCGUAUAUGUGCAAACUGAUGUAAAAAACUUUCAAGUAAAUUUUGGAACAUCAAAUUGUGAGGAAAAAAUUGAUAUUAUUGCACGAUCUUUCCGCUUCUAUACUUUGGUUUAGAAGCAAAGCAUUGCAUUUGAUUGAAAUUCCAAGUCCACU